rnacentral:rRNA from 1 species
UACAGAGGUCCCGAGCGUUGUUCGGAUUCACUGGGCGUAAAGGGUGCGUAGGUGGUUGUGCAAGUCUGAUGUGAAAUCUCCGGGCUCAACCCGGAAAUGGCAUUGGAAACUGCAUGGCUAGAGGAUUGGAGGGGGGACUGGAAUACCUGGUGUAGCAGUGAAAUGCGUAGAUAUCAAGUGGAACACCAGUGGCGAAGGCGGGUCUCUGGACAGUUCCUGACACUGAGACACGAAGGCCAGGGGAGCAAACGGG